rnacentral:rRNA from 1 species
GAUGAACGCUGGCGGCGUGCCUAACACAUGCAAGUCGAUCGCACAGCUGCGGUGCUUCCGUCUCUGACGUUCGGAGGGGUGGGGAGAGUGUCACGUACAUGACCUACAGAUAAGAAUGGGAUAACUUCGGGAAUCCUGACACCAUGCCGUAUAAUACUUUCACACGCCUGGCUGAUGAGAGAAAACCCGUUUUGCUGUCCCUUCUUCCUGGUUCCUAGACGGAUUAGUUAGUUCGUAGGGUGACGGCUUACCAUAGCCACGCUGCGUAGCCGACCUGAGAGGGUGAUGAGCCACACUGGAACUGAGACACGGUCCAGACUCCUACGGGAGGCAGCAGUAGGGAAUCUUCCACAAUGGGCGAAAGCCUGACGGAGCAACGCCGCGUGAGUGAUGAAGGUAUUCGGAUCGUAAAACUCUGUUAUUAGGGAAGAACAAAUGUGUAAGUAACUAUGCACGUCUUGACGGUACCUGAUCAGGAAGCCACGGCUAACUACGUG